UACGUAGGGUGCAGGCGUUAAUCGGAAUUACUGGGCGUAAAGCGUGCGCAGGCGGUUUCUUAAGUCAGAUGUGAAAGCCCCGGGCUUAACCUGGGAACUGCGUUCGAAACUGGGAGACUUGAGUGUGGCAGAGGGGGGUGGAAUUCCACGUGUAGCAGUGAAAUGCGUAGAUAUGUGGAGGAACACCGAUGGCGAAGGCAGCCCCCUGGGUUAACACUGACGCUCAUGCACGAAAGCGUGGGGAGCAAACAGG
rnacentral:rRNA from 1 species